GAGUUUGAUCAUGGCUCAGAAUCAACGCUGGCGGCGUGCCUCAGACAUGCAAGUCGAACGCGAAAGUCCCCUUCGGGGGGCGAGUAGAGUGGCGCACGGGUGAGUAACACGUAGGUAAUCUACCUUUGGAUUGGGAAUAACCACCGGAAACGGUGGCUAAUACCGAAUAAUGCAGCGGCACCUAAUGGUGACAGUUGUUAAAGCGGGGGAUCGAAAGACCUCGCGUCUGAAGAGGAGCCUGCGGCAGAUUAGCUAGUUGGUAAGGUAACGGCUUACCAAGGCGAUGAUCUGUAGCCGGCCUGAGAGGGCGGUCGGCCACACUGACACUGACAUACGGGUCAGACUCCUACGGGAGGCAGCAGUCGGGAAUUUUGGGCAAUGGGCGAAAGCCUGACCCAGCAACGCCGCGUGAAGGAUGAAAUCCUUCGGGAUGUAAACUUCGCAAGAACGGGAAGAAUAAGUAAGAGUUAAUAUCUCUUACGAUGACGGUACUGUUUGUAAGCUCCGGCUAACUCCGUGCCAGCAGCCGCGGUAAUACGGGGGGAGCAAGCGUUGUUCGGAUUUACUGGGCGUAAAGGGCGCGUAGGCGGCCACCGCAAGUCGACUGUGAAAUCUCCGGGCUUAACCCGGAAAGGUCAGCCGAUACUGCGGGGCUAGAGUGCAGAAGGGGCAACUGGAAUUCUCGGUGUAGCGGUGAAAUGCGUAGAUAUCGAGAGGAACACCUGCGGCGAAGGCGGGUUGCUGGGCUGACACUGACGCUGAGGCGCGAAAGCUAGGGGAGCGAACGGGAUUAGAUACCC
rnacentral:rRNA from 1 species